UGUUUUGAGUUGGUGCAUGGCAUGAAAUUGCCGAGUCCCAAGAACAGACUCAACAAGUAGUAUGAAGGUUGCCUUUUAAUCACUCAGUGAGUGGACUUGCCGAGUUGGGGGAAUGACUCGGUGAGUCAGGGAGAAUCAGGGGUCUAAGUCCAAGUUGGAACUCGCCGAGUUGUUCUUGAGACUUGGCGAGUUAAGUCGAGGUGGCCCCGCGAUUCAUGCCAGGUGGAACUCGUCGAGUUAAGGGAAAUACUCGACGUACCAAGAGAGAAUCUAAGAGAGUCAGUGGACACGUGUAGACUCGCCGAGUCGCCCUUGUGCACUCGCCGAGUCGGGUCAAGUUUGACCAUUGACCUUGUUGACUUUUAGGGUUGAGUGUUGUUGUAUUUAUGAGAGUAUUACUUUGUGUGAUUAGGUGGAGGCUAGAUCACAUUUCUUCCGAGACAGAUACUUAUCGAGACCGCAAGGUGAGUCUUCACACUAUACGUUACCUAGAGUCGUAUAUUUGUGUGGACCAGAGGGUCUUAUGUGUUAUGUAUGAGACUAUGUGCAAUGUGAUAGUUCUAUGUUGUAUGAUGAUAUAGACCAGACUGGAUGGUCCAACGAGUUAUGACCGGACCAGAGGGUCCAGCGAGCUAUGGGACUGGAGGGUCCCGUUGAGACACAUCGACCGGAGGGUCAUAUUAUAGUCUCGAGUGGCGUAUGUGUUGUAUGUGGUAUUUUGGGCAACUCACUAAGCAUUCAUGCUUACAUUUGUUGGGUUAUGUGUUUCAGGUACCAGUGAUGAGUGCGGGAAGGCGCCAGCAUGAUUCGUACACACUUGAGGGGUUUAUGUUUUGGAUUAUGGGGAGAUGUUUUUGUGAUAAAUACAUUUGAUACAAUAUGUUUGAUGUUAUUUUGUGAGUAAAUGAAUGUUUUGAAAAUGAAAAAUUGUUUUGAAAAUUUAUGUUGUUACAAGUUGGUAUCAAAGCCUUGGUUUGAGGGAUUCGGAUGCAUCUUCGGGCGUAUCUGAACUCAAACUGAGGAAUUGAGGAAAAUUUUGAUAAUGAAGUAAUUUUUUUUUGAAAAGAGUAAAAGAGUUUUGAGAAAAAUAGAGCAGAGCCGUGUGUACGAUUAACCGGCGCCCGAACGACGAAUUCCCCAAAAGUACCCUUACUUUAUGUAUUAUGAGAUAUGUUAUAUUAUGCAUGCUAGAGUAGGCUAAGUAUACAUAUUAGGACUAGAGUGGCCUGAUUUGUGAUGUCUUAUCCUAGGAGUUUUCUGCUAAUGAGAUGCUUUGAGGGCGAGUGGAUAGCAGUUAGGAGCUCAUGAGAAUAGAGUACUUGUAACCCAAGAUCCAAGGAGGAGGACUUGAAGUGAAUGCUGAUGCGGCGUGGUCAGUAGCAUUGGGCCCGUACUACUGAAGACACCGGAUCAGUGGGCAUUUCAAGUAAGAAUCUCUUGGACGAUGGAGGACAAGUAGGGUUGCGUCAUCGAGUAUGAGCAUGUUCGAUCGAAUCUCUGAUAAUUUUUGUUGUAUUUCAGAGGCAUCAUGGUUGGGACUCGACACACACCUGAGAUCAGUGGUGUUAGCGACGAGGAGAUCCGUCGGUUGAUUCAUGAGGAGGUGGCUGCUGCCAUCCGGGCUUCGAUUCCUGAGAUGUUUGGGGACAUCAAGACCACAUUGAUUGAGACUUUUUAUGAGCGGUACGCAACAUUGGCUGAGGUUGUUGCAGCUGCAGCUACUGCUGCUGCCAGACCUCAGGGAGGUGACUCGUUGUUGUUCUGGGAGUUCAGCAACNGUUGUUCCGGGAGUUCAGCAACACGAAGCCACCAGAGUUCGAUGGGAUGCAGGACCCGAUUGCCACUAUGAGGUGGGUCUCUGACAUCGAGGGAUGUUUCUAUACAUGCUCUUGUCCAGAGCACUUGAGGGUUCGGUUCGCCUUGAACCAGCUCCGCCUAGGAGCGAAGGAUUGGUGGAAGUUCGUGACGGCGAACUUUACUUUGGCUGAGAUUUCUGAGGUGACCUAGGAGAGGUCCACCACUAUGUUCCGAGAGGAGUAUGUUCCCCUGGUAGAGAGGGAACGGUUGAUCCAGGACUUCUUGUCCCUCAAGCAGGGUACUGAUUCUGUCACAGUCAUCACCAGGAAGUUCCAUGCGAGGGCAAUGUUUUGCCCUAAGCAGGUGUCGACUGAGCAGGCUCGUAUGAGCCGUUAUCUGGGUGUUCUGAGGAGAGAUAUUCGAGAGUUCGUGGCGAACUCGACUUACCAGACAUUUGCUGAGCUCCAGGUAAAUGCCCGGAAGAGGGAGAUCGAGCUGAAAACUCAGGCCAGGGAGGAGGCCGAGUCUCAGAGGAUGGACCGGCGACCGGCUCAUUCUCAGCCGGAAGCCAAGCGGGCAAGACCCGCUGAUUCGAGAUCUGGGGGCGCGAAGGGCCGCACUUUUGGGAAGUGCGGUAAGAGCCAUGAGGGGUCGUGCAAGGCUGGGGUAUGCUACAAGUGUGGGAAGGAGGGGCAUAUUGCGAUGGAUUGCCCCAAGGGAUUCUCGGUUUGCUUUCAUUGCAACCAGACCGGCCAUCGGAAGGCCGAGUGUGCGCAGCUUCUUCAGGGAUCAGCGUAGGGAUCUGCGCCUGCUACUAGGUUUACCAAGGUUCCGCCUCUGCGAGUUUCCUUAGUUGAUGAGCGAGUAGUGUAUGCUUUGGAUGUGAUUCGAGGAUGUGUCCUUGAGAUCUUCGGGGUGGAGUUUCCAAUAGAUCUGAUUCCGAUUGCAAUGGGGGAUGUGUGUGUCAUAGUGGGUAUGGAUUGGUUGACCCGAUAUGGAGCUGUGAUAGACUGCGAGCGUCAAUUGGUGACGAUUCGAGACCCUAGUGGGGGAGUUCUUACGGUGUACGGUGAGGGUACACGUACGGGGUAAGCAUUUUGCUCGGCCGCCAGAGCGAGACAGAGUCUACAGCAGGGCUGUAGGGGUUUUGUGGCAUAUGUGAUCGAUGCAAGGGUUGAUACAGAGAGACCGAAGUCAGCUGAUGAGGUCCCGAUAGUGCGUGAGUUUCCGGAUGUGUUGUGUGCCUCCGGAGAGGCAGGUAGAGUUCGGUAUUGAGUUGGUUCCAAGAGUUGCGCCUAUCGCUAACGCGCCGUAUCGCCUUGCGCCUCCGGAGAUGCAGGAGUUAUCCUCACAGCUUCAAGAGCAGCUAGCAAAAGGGGUUUAUCAGGCCAAGCAGUUCGCGUUGGGGAGCGCCUAUCCUUUUUGUCAAGAAGAAGGAUGGCUCGCUCCAGAUGUGCAUCGAUUAUCGUGAGCUAAAUAAGCUAACGGUCAAGAACCAUUACCCGUUGCCAAGGAUCGAUGAUUUGUUUGAUCAGUUGCAAGGAGCAUCUUGGUUCUCCAAGAUCGAUAUGAGGUCUGGCUAUCAUCAGGUGAGGGUGCGGGAGGAGGACGUUUAGAAGACAGCCUUCCAGACUCGUUAUGGGCAUUACGAAUUUGUGGUGAUGCCUUUCGGACUCACCAAUGCACCAGCGGUUUUCAUGGAUCUCAUGAACAAGGUGUGCAGACCGAUGUUGGAUCGCUCGGUGAUCGUGUUCAUCGACGACAUAUUGGUGUAUUCGAGAUCCAGAGAGCAGCAUGAGGAGCAUUUGAGGGAGAUCCUCGGAGUUCUGAGAUCGGAGAGGCUUUAUGCCAAGUUCUCCAAAUCUGACAUCUGGCUGCGAGAGGUUCAGUUUUUGGGGCAUCUCGUUAACCAGAAGGGGAUAUUGGUCGAUCCGGCCAAGAUUGAGGCGGUUAUGAGGUGGGAGGUGCCGAGGUCACCCACUGAGAUCAGGAGUUUUCUGGGUUUGGCCGACUAUUAUCAGAGAUUUAUUAAAGAUUUCUCCAAGAUCGCCGUACCACUCACCAAGUUGACCCGGAAGGGUGUUGUGUUUUCUUAGGGUCCGGAGCAUUAGGCCUCAUUCGAGACACUUCGCCAGAAAUUAUACGAAGCACCAGUGUUAGCUCUUCCAGAAGGGAUGGAAGAUUUUGUGGAAUACUGUGAUGCAUCGAUAUCCGGAUUGGGAGCGGUGCUUAUGCAGAGGGGGCAUGUGAUUGCAUGUGCAUCGAGGCAGCUUAAGCCUCAUGAGUCGAGAUACCUCACUCAUGAUUUGGAGUUGGGAGCGGUAGUGUUCGUUCGCAAGAUCUGGCGACAUUAUAUGUAUGGGGUCCGGUGUUCGAUAUACACGGACCACAAGAGCUUGAUGUAUUUGAUGGAUCAGCCCAACCUGAAUAUGCGCCAGAGGAGGUGGUUAGACGUGGUCAAGGAUUAUGAUUGUGAGAUCCUAUACCACCCGGGCAAGGCUAAUGUGGUAGCUGAUGCAUUGAGCCGUAGGGCGGAGGGCGCCCCAAUUCGAGACGUUUGUUUGAGAUUGUCAGUGAUGACCCUGGUGUUGGAUGCUAUUCGUGGGGCCGAGGUUGAGGCUGUGAAGCCAGAGAGUCAGAAGAGGGAGGGAGUUGUCGGGCUAGUAUCGGAAUGUGUUACCGACAGCCGGGGGCUUAUGACAUUUUAGGGCCGGAUUUGGGUACCGUCUGUGGGUGGGAUGCAUACCAUUUUGUUGGAAGAGGCUCAUCGAUUGAAAUUCUCGAUCCAUCCCGGGGCCACUAAGAUGUUUUUGGACCUGAAGAAGGAUUAUUGGUGGCCCUAUAUGAAGAGGGAUGUCGCAUGGUUCGUAGAGAGGUGCUUGACCUGUCAUAGGGUGAAGGUCGAGCACCAACGUCCACAUGCUAAAGUACAACCAUUAGAGAUUCCCGAAUGGAAAUGGGAACAUACUACCAUGGAUUUCAUCACCAAAUUGCCAAGAACCACGAGGGGUGUCGAUGGAAUUUGGGUGAUUGUGGACAGAUUGACGAAGAGUUCUCACUUCCUGGCCAUCAGUAAGAGCUCUUCCGCGGAGAAGUUGGCGGAGAUGUACGUGAGAGAGGUGGUAUCGCGGCAUGGAGUACCAAUCUCGAUUGUCUCAGAUCGAGAUGUACGUUUCACUUCCAGAUUCUGGAAGAAGUUUCACGAGGAGUUGGGAACGAGGCUGCUUUUCAGUACUGCAUACCACCCUCAGACGGACAGACAGAGUGAGCAGACGAUUCAGACACUCGAGGAUAUGCUUCCGGCAUAUGUAUUGGAUUUCGAAGGGAGUUGGGACACAUAUUUUCCCUUGGCGGAGUUUUCUUAUAACAACAAUCAUCAUUCGAGCAUUGGCAUGCUGCCUUUUGAGCUGUUGUAUGGGAGGAGGUGUCGAACCCCCAUUNUCCCUAUUUGCUGGGGAGAAGUAGGGCAGUGUGUGAUGGGUAGUACCGAGAUUGUGCUUCAGACGAAAGAGCUGAUCCAGCAGGUCAGCAAAGGUUGUUGACCACUUAGAGUCGUCAGAAGAGUUAUGAGGACAGGCGCCGAUCCGAGCUCGAGUUUCAGGUCGGCGACUUUGUGCUCCUGAAGGUCUCUCCUUAGAAGGGAGUGAUCCGAUUCAGGAAGAGGGGCAAGUUAGGGCCCCGAUAUACUGGACCUUUCAGGGUGAUCGCGAGGGUAGGCAGGGUAGCCUAUUGUUUGGAGUUGCCAGCAGAGUUGGGUCAGAUUCAUGACACUUUCCACGUGUCACAGUUGCGAAAGUGUAUAGCCGACGAAUCGGCAGUGGUCCCAUUAGAAGAUAUUCAGGUGGAUGCGAGCCUGAAUAUCAAGGUUUUGAGGAACAAGGAAGUGCCGCUGGUGCAGGUCCAGUGGCAGCAUCGGAAAGGGUCAGAUUUUCCUUGGGAACCGGAGCGUGAGAUGCGGGAGCAGCAUCUGGAGUUGUUCGCAGAGUGAGACUUCGAGGGCGAAGUCUGAUUCUAGUGGGGGAGAAUCGUAACACCCGGAUUCCCAGGUAUAAUAUUUUGUUCCUUUAUUUUGGGUUUUGUGGGGGAACUCGGCGAGUUGGCGUCUAGACUCGCUGAGUAUGGUUGCAGAUUGGUACGCGAGUUCACAGCUGGACUCGGCGAGUUCAUGAGUGGACUCGGUGAGUCCAUGCUGUUUAAUGAAACCCUAAUUUCCAGGGUUUAAGACCUAUUUAUAGGGCCUUAUGGCCGUCAUUUGCGGCCACCAACCCCAGAGAGAAACCCUAAAGAGACCUAGAGCGUUUGUGAGGAAGGAGAGGCUAAUCUUGAGCUUUGGUGGGUGUUUUUGCAAGAAGGAAGUGUUUAAGGCAAGAGGAGGCUGAAGGAGGUGCGAUUUCUGGUGGUUUUGAGCUCAUAGAGACUGCAUUGAGGUAUUAUUCUCAGACCUUCUUCAGUUUUGGUGUUGAUUCUUUGUGUUAGGGUUUUCCUAACCCUUUUAGAGAUUGAUUAAGUGGUAUUUUGGUCCCUCCUCGAGUUUGUGUUCUGGAUCUGGACCCAAAGAGGUCCAGAGACCUUAACCUUCGGAGCUUUAUGAGUCAUUUUGGAAUUCAUGAGCUUGGAAUGUCAUUUUUGGGGCUAAAUCACCAUUUUGGACCAUUUCUAUGUUAUAUGUGUGUCAAGGUCCGAACUUUACGUGAUUAUCAUGCUUGGGGAGGCCAGAACUAUGAUUAUAUGGAACAGAUCUGACCUCAGAAGUUGUUUUGAGUUGGUGCAUGGCAUGAACUCGCCGAGUCCCAAGAACAGACUCGACGAGUAGUAUGAAGGUUUCCCGUUAAUCACUCAGUGAGUGGACUUUCCGAGUUGGGGGAAUGACUCGGUGAGUCAGGGAGAGUCAGGGAUCUGAGUUCAAGUUGGGACUCGCCGAGUUGUUCUUGAGACUCGGCGAGUUGAGUCGAGGUGGCCCUGCGAUUCAUGCCAGGUGGAACUCGUCGAGUUAAGGGAAAUACUCGACGUACCAAGAGAGAAUCUAAGAGAGUCAAUUGACACGUGUAGACUCGUCGAGUCGCCCUUGUGCACUUGCCGAGUCGGGUCAAGUUUGACCAUUGACCUUUUUGACUUUUAGGGUUGAGUGCUGUUGUAAUUAUGAGAGUAUUACUUUUUGUGAGUAGCCGGAGGCUAGAUCACAUUUCUUCCGAGACAGAUACUUAUCAAGACCGCAAGGUGAGUCUUCUCA
rnacentral:lncRNA from 1 species